CACGUAGUUAGCCGUGACUUCCUCGCCGGGUACCAUCACUCAGAAAGCUUUCCACUCUUUCUGCCUUUUGUCCCCGGCAACAGAGCUUUACGAUCCGAAGACCUUCCUCGCUCACGCGGCAUUGCUCGUUCAGGGUUCCCCCCAUUGACGAAAAAUUCCCUACUGCUGCCUCCCGCAGGAGUCUGGGCCGUGUCUCAGUCCCAGUGUGGCCGUCCGCCCUCUCAGGCCGGCUAUGCAUCGUCGCCUUGGUGAGCCGUUACCUCUCCAACCAGCUAAUGCACCGCAGGUCCAUCUGCAUGGCGGGACUCUUGUCCCCUUUUACAAAAAAGAAGAUGCCUCCUCUUUGCUCAUCCGGUAUCAGCUUCCGUUCAGAAUUCUCCGCUCAUGCAGGCAGGUUCCCUAGUGUUACUCACCCGUUCGCCACUCAAUACUACCGAAGACUUACCCCGUUCGACUUUGCUAUGUAUUAGGCAGUGCCGCAGCGUUCAUCCUGAGCCAGGUA
rnacentral:rRNA from 1 species